AAGCCUUGGUUCUUCUUCAUUUACACGAAAAAAUCUUUCGCCUUUUACUAAAGAUUUCCGUGGAGGAGAACAAGACAAUGGGCUUAAAGGUAUUUUUUUGUCGCCGGAUUUUCCAGGCG
rnacentral:snRNA from 1 species